GUCUAGUAAUAAUUCAGCUGGUAGAACAUGAGAUUCUUAAUCUCAGGGUUGUGGGUUCAAGCGCUUUGGGCA